rnacentral:rRNA from 1 species
UACGUAGGGGCCUAGCGUUGUCCGGAAUUAUUGGGCGUAAAGAGCUCGUAGGUGGUUCGGUAAGUCACGUGUGAAAUCUCCACGCUUAACGUGGAGGCGCCACGUGAAACUGCUGUGACUUGAGUCCGGUAGGGGAGUGUGGAAUUCCCGGUGUAGCGGUGAAAUGCGCAGAUAUCGGGAGGAACACCGGUGGCGAAGGCGGGUCUCUGGGCCGAUAUUGACGCUGAGGAGCGAAAGCGUGGGGAGCAAACAGG